UACGUAGGGCGCAAGCGUUGUCCGGAAUCAUUGGGCGUAAAGAGCUCGUAGGUGGUCUGUUACGUCUGCUGUGAAAUCCUAGGGCUUAACCCUGGGCCUGCAGUGGAUACGGGCAGGCUAGAGGUAGGUAGGGGAGAAUGGAAUUCCCGGUGUAGCGGUGAAAUGCGCAGAUAUCGGGAGGAACACCGGUGGCGAAGGCGGUUCUCUGGGCCUUACCUGACACUGAGGAGCGAAAGCGUGGGGAGCGAACAGG
rnacentral:rRNA from 1 species